rnacentral:rRNA from 1 species
UACAGAGGGUGCAAGCGUUAAUCGGAAUUACUGGGCGUAAAGCGUGCGCAGGCGGUUUUGUAAGCCAGAUGUGAAAGCCCCGGGCUUAACCUGGGAAUGGCAUUUGGGACUGCAAGGCUUGAGUGCGGCAGAGGAGACUGGAAUUCCUGGUGUAGCAGUGAAAUGCGUAGAUAUCAGGAGGAAUACCGAUGGCGAAGGCAGGUCUCUGGGCAGUAACUGACGCUGAGGAGCGAAAGCGUGGGGAGCGAACAGG